UACGUCCUCCGCGCUGUGCACUCUAUGAACAGGAAUUAGAACUGAGCAAGGAGACUAUUGCUGACUGGUCAAGUGUUCGCCGCGAGGUGAACGAGGCACGUACACGAUGUUGUACGAAGCCCAUCGAAGGAUGUAAUCAGAUCCGACGUGCAAACUCGAACGAAACUUCGACUACACACUGUAUUACCACGUACAGCAGCUUCGUCAGAAGGGAAAAGGACCCCGCUGCACUUUCGACGUCGUCUUCAGCGAGCUGAGCGACAGGUUGUCGAUAAACCACAGCCACUGUGCGAACCACGUCAACGGACACUUUGUAUCACGCCGGAGCAAAGCGUUCUGCUCUUCACACGCGCACGAUACAAACUGUGAUCCUCGAACGGUCUAUGUUUACUAUCAGCGUAAAUCGGCCAGAGAGUGGCAAGAAAAACAGAAGGGGGAUUUUUCAUUGGAUGUGGGUCAUCGAUUCACUGGUACAGAGGAUAUCCUGUUCAUGGAUCGGUAAAAGAAGAAGAGGAAGGAGCGUGAAGUGCGUUUAUGAAUGAAGAAUACCGAAGACCUGAUCCGUGCUCCUGUGCACUUGCGUCCUGCCUCCGCCCUUGGCGACACCCCCUUCCGGUUCGAUGAUUUCAGGGGGUUGCGAGCACCGUAUGCCGCAACAACUGUCAUCUUAAAUUUUCCCUGGCGACGAUAUUCACCUCCUGGUCUUUGAAUUUUCACCCUGAAAAUUUAAAAAUUUAAUGUACCACUAUUCUGAUGAAAAAUAAAAAUAUUCAAU